AAACUUUGCAACUCAGGCCAUCAAAUAUCUAUCAAGAGCCCAUACAGAAACAGGGUGACAAACACUGGACACAGCAGGGAGACAGAGGGGCCCACCACGAGGACCACAUGAGCCCAGAAGUACAGAAUUGAGGAAAGCCAUGAGCCCAUCUGCUGGCCCCACCACAUCCCACAAACCUUGAAGAGUUGGGCUGGCACUAAUAAUCGUGUCUGUGAAAUAAAUGCUGCUAUGGUAAUCUUUUCUUAGAUUUGACACAUUUUUCUGGCUCAUAAGUCUGUCCUGUUCUGAAGACACCCAACCCCUUCCCUGAAUUCUUUUCCUUUGGCUGUUCUUCCUAAAAUGAUACUUUUCCUGCUUUCAGACAAUCCUGGAAUUUUUUAACUCAUCUCUACAUAUCAUUAUCAAUGUAUACCCACAAUGUCGGGAUCAAGAACAAGUAACAAACAUUGACCAUCUAACUUCCCAACAACCAUUGGACACUCCACAAAUUCUUCCAAUCGUGAGACUUUAUGAUUCCAUGACACACUUGGAGCUACUUUUCUAUGAGAACUACAAAUGAAUAAAAUUAUCCUAGCCUAAGAUGUUAUUACAAAGGCAAACACAUCCACAUUUUAAUAAUACUAUGUUUUCCCAAACUGACAACAUACCUUCACUGUCGAUGCACAGGACAGCAGGGAUGUGCUUGAGUAACCCUGGACUGGGCCAUACUUAGUGGUGUAAUUGACAACUAACACACAGGGCCUUCUAAAGAUGAGCUACGUGCAAAAUCCAAGCUACAUAAUAAAACGCAAUGACUUAACAUGUUUCAGAUUGUAUGACAGUUCACAUCUGAGAAUAUGUAAUUAUUUUGCUAUGCUUCCCAGAAUUGAAUAUUAAUGCUCUGGAGGUCUUAGCACUAGAAAAUCGAAAAGUUGGACUCCAUCUUUGAGUCUUUCUGAACAGUGUUACAGACAUAAAAAGAAGCUGUGCCUAUGCUCAUACACAACAUUACCUCGUACGUCAUCAGUGCACUGUUUACAUAUUCAGAGUAGAAAGCUUAUCCAUAAGAUCUUCAUACUAUAUCUCACAACAUAAAGUUCAAGUUCGCAUUCAAAACACAGAAAAAGGCCAGAAAGCCACAUUUCUCUAUAUAAGGUAUGACCUUGAGGGUAAGCACCAUAGCAUUCUUGCUUUUCUGAGCCAAUGUCCUAUCUACUUCUAUACAAUUAGAUAAAUAUCCUAGGCAGUUCUAGACAGAAAAGUACUGACCAUCUGGGUGCUAAUCUGGCCUCUACCAUUUCUUCGCUGUGUGACCCUGCAAAGCAACUUAACCAUUCUGGGUAUUAGUUUCCUUGUGUGGAAAACAGAAGACAUAAUCAAAAUAUCACCUUCCUCACAAAGUAAUUGUCAUACUUAGUAAGUGUGAAGUAUCUUCCUCUCCUCAAUCUCUUGUUAACCCUAAACUGGGUUAAUUGGAAGGAUUCUGAGUAGGUUGCUGCUAGGAUGUAGCAAAACAAACACCAGGAAGCCACUGAGUCCCAGAGAAAAAGGUUUUGUAAUGACUAUGGCUGAACUGGCUGAGUCAUAUUAAGUCUGGAAUUCUCUAGGACAUAAACAGAGCUGUCACAUAGGACACUGAAGAGACAAAAACAAAGGGUUUCAGAGGUGAGGAGUUCUCAGGACUGACAUUCAUGGAGCAGGGCUGGAGAAGUGAGAAAUGGGCUGUGUACUAUGUUGAAGUGGGGAGAGAACAGAAGAUUCCUCCAUUGACUAAAAACAAUUUUUUUUCUAUUUCUUUUUUAAAUACCAGGGGCUGAACUCAGGAUCUCAUGCUGGAGCCACUCCCAAUAUUUUUGCUUUUAUGUUUCAUUUAGGGUCUCACGCUUUGGCCCUGAUUAACUUCAAGUCUCAAUCUUCCUGUCUCUAUGCUUCUCACAUGGCAGCAAUUACAGGCAUGCACCACCACAUCCAGCUCCAUCAAGCACCAACCUAACCUACGGGAAAAAAAAACCAAGGGGCCUGGGGCUGGGAAUAUGGCCUAGUGG